ensembl:snoRNA U8 U8 small nucleolar RNA
UCAUCAGAUGGGAUAAUUUUUACCUGUUCCUCCUUUUGGAGGUUAGCUUCGAAUACGAUGAUUGGAGUUCAUAUGGUACAUGAUUAAUGUCUCUGCAUAAUCAGGACUUGCAACACCUUGAUUGCUCCUGAU